CGGCAACAGCUCAAAUUUGAAACCUGGCGCUUGCGCCCGGAUUGUAAUUUGCAGAGGAUGCUUCUGGGCAGCGGCCGGUCUAAGUUCCUUGGAACAGGACGUCAUAGAGGGUGAGAAUCCCGUAUGCGACCGGCGCGCACCCUUCACGUAGCUCCUUCGAC
rnacentral:rRNA from 1 species